AUACCACUGCACUCCACCUUGGGAGAUAGGCAAGACUCUGUCUCAAAUAAAUAGAUAGAUAGAUUAGAUAGACAGACGACAGACAGACAGACAUACUGUUCCUUUUGCUGUAUUCCACUGACCCUACUAAUCAACCUUGAUACAGUGUGGGGCAUAAUGACACAAGGGAGUGAAUGCCAAGAAGGUAUCAUUGGGUCAUCUUGAAAGCUAUCCACCACACACACAGCAGGACAUAGAAGUUAUUCUUAGGUCCACACCACUGUGGAUCUUCUAGGUUUUUCUUUUCCCUUCCAUAGCAGCAGACCAUAAACAUUUCUUAUAUUAUGAAAUAGUGUUCUAAAAUGAGAUUUUUAUAUGUUUGCUUAGUAUUCAUUGUGAGGGCAUGCCAAUUUAUUUUACCAGUCUCUUAAUGUUAUUUUAUAAUUAGGUUGUUUUGAGUAUUUGACUAUUAUAAAUUAUAAUAUUUUCUUCUGUGAAAAUCCUUAAGCACAUCCGCUGCCAUUUACCUAAAAUAGAUUCCUAUCCUAGAAUGUUAUUCCUGGGUCAAGACAUAUAAACAUAUUAAGGGUUUUUACACAUAUUGUCAAAAUAUACUGCAGAAAUUUGUACCAAAUUUAUAUUACUUUUGCCAUAACAAAAUGAUGCCUAACUUACGUGCUUUUCAAUACUAGGUACAAUAUUUUUAAAAUACAAGGAGCCUGAUAAGAAAUAUAGUAUCCCAUAGUAGUUUUAAUUUUUUUUUGUUACUAAUAAGGUAGGGGAGCUAUUUUGAAGGUCUCAUUCUUGAAUCUAUGUAGUAUUUUUUGUCUUGAUUUUUAAAGGUAUCUUUAUCCUAAUUACUUUUAAAGUUGUAAUUAGUUCUCUUUAAAAUAUUUAUAUUUUGCUUUCUUUAAAAAUAUAUUUCACUGGAUGUUUUCAUUAAGGCUAUACAAUGGGAGUGGUUCAGUAAUGAACCUGGAAAUGUUGAAAAAUAAUUGAAUAACUUAAGCACUUUCAAAAUACCAAUUAGUUAGAUGGUUACUAAACUAAGUUUCUCUAAUUUAUAUUUUAUUGAUUGAACAUUUGCUAGAAUAAUGAGUUAAAAAGUGAGAAGAUGCUUUUUUUUUUUUUUUUUUUUUUACUUUGGUUGUAAGCCAUCUGCCAAAAUUUGGUGAGUGUUGAGGAGCAUUUGUCAAGGAAUGAAAUCAUAAUUGAGAGUUUUCUAGUUGAAAAAAAUAAUAAAAACACUGUCAGUGUUUCCAUGUCAUAGAAUGAAAAUGACUGUUAUUACUUGAAAAGUUUUCCUGCCCAGGACUUUCAUAUAACUGAUGUUCUGUGUGUUGUACAAAAAAGAAAAAAAAUUAAUUUGCUGAACAGUUUUCUGGAUUUCCAAAAAAAUUUAUUUUGGUGUUUGAUGUUUUCAUAAUAAUUGGUUUUAAAUUUGAAAGUCGUUAAGUGGGUUCAAUAGUGAGAGUGGGUAGAAUAUGAGGAUACACAUUGUCUGGCAAGCCAGGAGA